UACGAACUGUGCGAACGUUAUUCGGAAUCACUGGGCUUAAAGGGUGCGUAGGCGGCUGCCUAAGUCAGGUGUGAAAUCUCCCGGCUCAACCGGGAAACUGCGCUUGAUACUGGGCGGCUCGAGUGAGGUAGGGUGUGUGGAACUUCCGGUGGAGCGGUGAAAUGUGUAGAUAUCGGAAGGAACGCCAGCAGCGAAAGCGGCACACUGGGCCUUUCUGACGCUGAGGCACGAAAGCCAGGGGAGCGAACGGG
rnacentral:rRNA from 1 species